UACAGAGGUCUCGAGCGUUGUUCGGAUUCAUUGGGCGUAAAGGGUGCGUAGGUGGUUAGGUAAGUCGGAUGUGAAAUCCCGGGGCUCAACCCCGGAACUGCAUUCGAUACUGCUUGGCUUGAGUACUGGAGAGGAGAUUGGAAUUUACGGUGUAGCAGUGAAAUGCGUAGAUAUCGUAAGGAAGACCAGUGGCGAAGGCGGAUCUCUGGACAGUUACUGACACUGAGGCACGAAGGCCAGGGGAGCAAACGGG
rnacentral:rRNA from 1 species